GAUGAACGUUGGCGGUGUGCCUAAUACAUGCAAGUCGAACGGAGUUAAUAGCAAUAUUGACUUAGUGGCGAACGGGUGAGUAACGCGUUGGUGAUCUGCCUUGAAGUGUGGAAUAACGCUCCGAAAGGAGCGCUAAUACCGCAUGUGCUCUCAAUUUUUAGAAACUUGAGAGGAAAGGAUUUAUUCGCUUCGAGAGGAGCCUGCGUCCCAUCAGCUGGUUGGUAGGGUAAAGGCCUACCAAGGCAAUGACGGGUAGGGGACCUGAGAGGGUGGCCCCCCAAAUGGAACUGAAACACGGUCCAUACACCUACGGGUGGCAGCAGUAGGGAAUAUUAGAAAUGGACGAAAGUCUGAUCUAGCAACACCGCGUGUGCGAAGAAGGCCUUGGGUCGUAAAGCACUUUUUGGAAGGAAUAGGAAGGAAUGUACUUCCAGAAUAAGUCUCGGCUAACUACGUGCCAGCAGCCGCGGUAAGCUGUAGUCGU
rnacentral:rRNA from 1 species